AGCGUCGACGGAAGGAUUGGAAACAUCUAUCUUGGGAUUCAUACGAACAGGCCAUACGACCUAAACCCCAAAAAAGUUCAUGGUCAUUCUUAAGAUCGGCACUAGGUGGGGGCGUGUGGUUAGCGUCACGCCCAGACUCCGAUAAUGAACUGGGAGAAAUACAACUUAUAUAACUAAUCCCAUGGCACAAGGUCAUGCGAGGCUUCGGGUCUCCAUACACUGCGUUCCAGUUGACUCGCUCUUGCUAAAUCAUAAACCCAUACUGUUAGAUUCAUAAAAGCCGUAAUAAAUCGUAUUGUACUCGGCAAACAACGUAGUAUGUAGGUGACGUCACAGCUGUAAGAAAUUGAUACCGAUUCUACAUAAGUGAAUUCGUAUUUGACUACGGACGAUCUGAAAUACUAUACAGACCUAAAACCUGAGGUGUAGGCUUCCACCGCGGCCGUACGAUACGCUGUAGUGGUCGCUGGUACCUGCCAAAAAAUUAGACUCUUGAUAUUCUUCGUUACAGUUUUCUAAAACUGCUCUUUAAAACGACGAGUUUUGGUCCAUAUAUUAGCAGUCUUACCCGUGUCUGGAAACCUGUUGAAAAAGAAUGCAGUGUAUGGGGACCCUCAGGUAAAACAACUUGUUAUGUACACCAUCUUUUUGAGCAGUAGAUGUUGAUCAAGAAAUAUCUUUUUCUUUCAGGUGUGAAACUUGUUUCUUGGAUUAAAGUUGUUUGAGAACAGAGAGGAGGAGGAGAAUAUAUGGAUCUAAGAGGGAAGAAGUGACAGGGGGUUGGAAGAAAGUACCUAAUGAGCAGCAUCAUUUUUGAACAUCACUAAACACUAUUAUGAGAGUCAAAUCAAAGAAGGAUGAGACUGGUGGAGCAUGUAGCACAUAUGGGAGAGAUAAAUGCAUACAAAGUUUUGGUCAGAAAACCUGAUAAAAAGAAACAAUUUGUAAGUCCUACAUGUUUUAUGCUAUUUUCAUGACUGUUAUGUUUGUGCCAAUUAAUUACUUACAAAUAUUACUUUCAUGUUUCUGGAAGUUACUGGUUGACUACGGCCUGAAAUAAUGUCAGUAUUUGAAAGCUGCAUAAUGAAUACAUAUAACUUUACUUGCAUAUUAUAUGAUCUUUUUCUCACAUAAAAUUAGCAUUAUUGAAUUAGGUUUGAUUUUCCAUUCAAUGUAGAACAGACCUAAUGCCAAAUGUACAUAAGGAUACCAUAUACAGUAUAUCACCUUCAUGACAAGAAGAUGAAGACUGAAAGAUAACAAUUUAAACAUCAAUGAAUGAGUGCUAGAUAAUGAAUCUUCUAAAUGUUAAUGCUGAAACAACCACUGUAUUAGCAACACAGCAUGUGUUUCAUACCAUGCUGUAACAAUAUAUUACUACACAACACAAUUGGAUGACUUCUGCUUUAGUAAACUCAUUUGAAAUAUCCUCCCAUUAACCUUCAUUAAAAUUCUUGUACCUUUUCAAGAAUGUGGACUUCUGGGUUAUGACAUCAUGUCAACUUGUAGGUGGUCAACAAUGUUUCUGAGCAAAUUUUCACCAUAAUUUUCAGGGUAGAAGAUAGCCACUUCGUCCAUUAAGAUGGAAGUGACGUUAUUCCAAAACAUUAGUAACCACCUAUGUGACUACACCACAUCAUAAACUCAGAAGACCACAAUCCAAAUUUUCACUACUGUGAAGCCACAAUACUUCUGUUCACAAUGACAGAAACAAUUUUGCUUUCACAACAUAGUUCUAGUAGUUAUUCUCAAUAUGGGAAAAUGUUAAUGUGUGAUAUAUGAUGUCAUCUGGGAAGGACAUUUAAUAAAACAUAGGAACAUUUAUGCAGUCA